CAAAACUUCAUGUGUUGUGAAAACAAAAGUUUUUUGGUAAUGAAAACUCGACAAAGACCAGUUAAAAACGUGUGUAGUAUAACUUACUGCAAGAGAAACCUGGAAACAAGAACCAAAAAAAGUGGGCUUUCUCUGCAUCAUCAUUCCACUUCUGGUCCCCAACUGAAAAGGACAAUCCAAAGCUAGAUCCCUUCAAAUUUUCCU